AGCAGUCGCCGCGGUAAUACGAAGGGGGCUAGCGUUGCUCGGAAUGACUGGGCGUAAAGGGCGCGUAGGCGGUUAACCAAGUUAGAUGUGAAAUUCCUGGGCUUAACCUGGGGGCUGCAUUUGAUACUGGUUGGCUUGAGUUCGGAAGAGGGUUGUGGAAUUCCCAGUGUAGAGGUGAAAUUCGUAGAUAUUCGCAGGAACACCAGUGGCGAAGGCGGCUAACUGGUCCAUAACUGACGCUGAGGUGCGAAGCGUGGGGAGCAAACAGGAUUAGAUACCCCCGUAGUCCCUGUCUCUUAUACA
rnacentral:rRNA from 1 species